rnacentral:misc_RNA from 1 species
GAUGAAGAACGUAGCGAAAUGCGAUAAGUAAUGUGAAUUGCAGAAUUCAGUGAAUCAUCGAAUCUUUGAACGCACAUUGCGCCCCUUGGUAUUCCGGGGGGCAUGCCUCUUCCAGCGUCAUUUCACCCCUCAAGCUCUGCUUGGUCUUGGGCCGCGCCGCGCAAGCGGCUGGCCUCGAAAACAGUGGCGGCGCCAUCUGGGCUCUCAGCGUAGUAAUUCUUCUCGCUAUGGAGUCCCGGUGGGUGCUUGCCAUCAACCUUAAAAAAACUUUUCUAUGGUUGACCUCGGAUCAGGUAGGGAUACCCGCUGAACUUAAGCAUAUCAAUAAGCGGAGGA